GAUGAAGAACGCAGCGAAAUGCGAUAAGUAAUGUGAAUUGCAGAAUUCCGUGAAUCAUCGAAUCUUUGAACGCACAUUGCGCCCCCUGGCAUUCCGGGGGGCAUGCCUGUCCGAGCGUCAUUUCUGCCCUCCAGCCCGGCUGGGUGUUGGGCGCUGUCCCCCCGGGGACACGCCCCAAAGGCAGUGGCGGCGCCGCGUCGGGUCCUCGAGCGUAUGGGGCUUUGUCACCCGCUCUUGUAGGCCCGGUCGGCGCUUGCCGACACAUCAAUCUUUUUUCCAGGUUGACCUCGGAUCAGGUAGGGAUACCCGCUGAACUUAAGCAUAUCAAUAAGCGGAGGA
rnacentral:misc_RNA from 1 species